rnacentral:rRNA from 1 species
CUACGGGAUGCUCCAGUGAGGAAUAUUGCACAAUGGGGGGAACCCUGAUGCAGCAACGCCGCGUGGAGGAUGACGCAUUUCGGUGUGUAAACUCCUUUUAUAUGUCAAGAAAAUGACGGUAGCAUAUGAAUAAGCACCGGCUAACUCCGUGCCAGCAGCCGCGGUAAUACGGAGGGUGCAAGCGUUACUCGGAAUCACUGGGCGUAAAGGGCGCGUAGGCGGGCUUGUAAGUCAGGUGUGAAAUCCUACAGCUUAACUGUAGAACUGCACUUGAAACUACGAGCCUAGAGUAUGGGAGGGGCAGAUGGAAUUAGUGGUGUAGGGGUAACAUCCGUAGAUAUCACUAGGAAUACCUAAAGCGAAGGCGAUCUGCUGGAACAUAACUGACGCUAAGGCGUGAAAGCGUGGGGAGCAAACAGGAUUAGAUACCCCCGUAGUC